UCCAGACACUCGACGGCAAAACACCGCUGUUCGGGAGUUUAAGAUGGCCGCCGCCACGUGUUCGUUUCCCGAAUGGCGGCCACCCAGAGGACAAAGAACACAUUACAUAGAUUGCCAAUUACCCGUUUGCAACAUUGUUGCAAACGGUAAUUGGAGGCACACUUACUCCAGGGUGGUCUGGUUGUUCGGUAGUUUCACUCAGUAUAAUGAAUGGAGUGAUUCUACCGAACAAUCAGGGGAAUGCUGCAUAUACAUAACACUGUUUAC